UGGGAUGACCCCCACUCCAUCCGGAUUGCUGCACAAUGCUCUUCUUCUCAGAUGACGAAGGAUGAGGACGGCUAUUUGCCAAUAGUCCACAGGAUCGGGCAAACACCACAUGCCGUUGUUCGUUUGAACAUGGCCAAAAGGAACAACAAAGUGUUGCCAUCGCUUCUUGACCUUUUUCGGGAAACCCACUCGAGAGGUGGAGUUUUUGUGGAUCUUCGUUCCGAGAAGAUUCACAGUGAUGUCACAGCUCGGAUUGCUGAACGCCAAACUCAGCUCAUAGAGUAGUCACCGAUGGUAUUCCCGUUGAGUUGUCUACCGUCGAGUUGGACACCAUUUACGAACAGGUUAUCCCUAAAAAAGAGGACGGAUCUUGGGCAUAUGAUUUGUAAACGAUGUUUAACGGGUGACAUCGUCCUAUGCCUAGAGACAUGAUACAGGAAAAGCUCGAUCUUAUGGUGGAUGGAAAUCCGCGGAUGCAGGAGAUGUUGCGGGCUAGACGAGAGGCACUCAACCGUCCACCGAGCCGUACUGCGAAACAUGAAGCUGUGGACUUAAAGCAAACCAAUGUCCGAGACUUUUUCAGAGAAGAGCUUCCCUAGUUUUUUUGUAUAAUAUUUUCUUUUCUAGCUUUUUAUGUAAAAAAUUAUAACUCUUUUAUUUAUGCAGUUUUUAAUUUCAGAAUUUUAAAUUAUUAUUUUUCAUAAAUUUAAAUUUAAAAUAAUUUUAUAUUUUAUUUUUUGGAUUAAUUAAAACUAAA